CUGUUAAGAAUUCCAUAUGUUGUGAAGAAUCAACCUCGCCAACGUUUGAAGAUCACCCAGAGACAACAAGUUUCACAAAACAACAAGUCUACAAGUUUCAUCAUUAAAUUGAAGAAUUAAUGAAUUUUAACAAUAAGCUAUCAUAGCUCAAAUACGAAUAUACCAAAAGAUCCAAGGAAGAUCAAUGAGAUGGCAAAAGGGGAAUAACCUUAAAUGAAUAUAAAUAUAUAUAUGAAAUAUCAAAACAUAUUGUAGCCUUGAUCGAAAGAAUUUUAGUUAAAUAAAAUUCUGCCAAUACAAGUUUAUAUUUUAUAGUUCAACAACAGGUUUGAAUAAUAUUUUUUCCCAAAGAAAAUUAAUAAAUUAAAAUUUGUUUCUCUUUUCAAUCUGAAUUCAAUAACGUCUGCAUUACCUUUUAUUGAAAUAAUUACUUUUUGAGUAACUUUUUCCCAAUUUUAAUAUUUUUUCAAUAAAAAAAAAAUUUUAUUAGCUAAAGUAGGCUACAUGUAAAUUAUUAAAAUACUCAAUCUAUCUUUAUUUUCCAAAACCUAAGAAGAAUUUGAAACAAAGAUGUGAGUAAAAAGUCAAAGAAAGGGCAAAGACGGAAAAGGGUUCACUUUGAAGAAGAGGAUGAUGAGGAGGAGGAAGAGGAAGAAGAACCUGAGCCAGAACCGCAACCGCAACCAAAGAAACGGAAAGGUCGGCAAAAGAAAAGCGUGGAACCUCCACCCGUCCAACCAGCCUCCCCUCCACCCCAAACUAGUGGACGCAAAAGAGGUCCACAGCCCUCAUCUUCUGCUGUCACAAACAAAAAGGCAAAAGGACGGAAGAGAUAAUUAGGACCAGCAACUUAAGACUGCCAGUCAAGCACUUUGUAAAUAGUUUUAAGAGGGGUUUAUUUAUAUUUUAAAAUCUAUGUUAUUUAUAAGGAAGUCUGUCUUUGAGACUUAAAAUGUACAUAAAAUGUACAGAAAGUAUUGUAUAUAAUAUUUUUAGUAUUUUAAAUUUUUAACAAAAAAUGUUAAUUUUUAAUAUUUGUUUAUCUUUGUUGAGCCCUUAAAUUUUAUUUAGUCUCAAUCACAAGGAUUAUUCAUUUUUAUUUUAUCAGACUAUGACAAUUGAAGUCAAUAGCGUAGAAUGGUUGGUAUGUAAACGGGUUAACAUAAUAUUAUAUUUCAUGUCUGCUCAAAUAUCAUCUUCGCCAUAACCUGAUUCUUAUACUGUACAUAUUUUUACACUGUGUACAUAUUUUUAUGACUUUAAUUGUAUAAUAUGUAAAAAGAUAA